CAGCAGCCACGGUAAUACGUAGAGUGCAAGCGUUAAUCGGAAUUACUGGGCGUAAAGCGUGCGCAGGCGGUUAUAUAAGACAGAUGUGAAAUCCCCGGGCUCAACCUGGGAACUGCAUUUGUGACUGUAUAGCUAGAGUACGGCAGAGGGGGAUGGAAUUCCGCGUGUAGCAGUGAAAUGCGUAGAUAUGCGGAGGAACACCGAUGGCGAAGGCAAUCCCCUGGGCCUGUACUGACGCUCAUGCACGAAAGCGUGGGGAGCAAACAGGAUUAGAUACCCCAGUAGUCCCUGUCUCUUAUAC
rnacentral:rRNA from 1 species